rnacentral:rRNA from 1 species
UACGAAGGGGGCUAGCGUUGCUCGGAAUUACUGGGCGUAAAGCGGGUGUAGGUGGCUUGGUAAGUCAGAUGUGAAAGCCCUGGGCUUAACCCAGGAAGUGCAUUUGAUACUGCUGAGCUUGAGUGCGAGAGAGGUUAAUAGAAUACCUGGUGUAGUGGUGAAAUACGUAGAUAUCAGGUGGAACACCGGAGGCGAAGGCGGUUAACUGGCUCGACACUGACACUGAGACCCGAAAGUGCGGGGAUCAAACAGG